CGUGGGCGGGGCCAAGGCCGUGGAGACCAACGUUCGAUUUUUCAGUUUCCACUUCGCCCAGGAGUGGGGAGUUCUUAGCUGCUUAUUACGAAACCAAACGUCCCUCGUAUUCUCCUGUGACUUUCCGACUUUUAAUUGUGUCUAACGACCCACGCUUCCCAAAUCAACGCGAGGCACGAGCCUCCGCAUUCUAAGGCAGGAAUUCCGAUCCCUCCACGUCCCUUGGAAAACACGGUGUGUGUUUGCAAGCGCAGCCGUCACUGGCAGAAUUUUGCAACGAUUUCCCAGUUUUGUUGGCACAUCUCCAGGAGGGAAGGUUCUUUGUAAUUCUUUGCUCAGACAGACAUCAGGAUCACACACAAAUCUCUUAGCAGAUAGACCAGGGAAGGCAGUUCUCUUUCAAUUUUAAAAGCUACAACAUAAGCUGUUGCGUGUAGAACGUGAAUAUUCAAAAGGCUUUAACCGAUACUUUAAAGAAAGAUUAAUCUGCGGUGAGAAAAGGAGCCCCGGUACUAAAGAUGAUGGAUAUCUUACGUAGUUGAAUGAGAAUCAGGGCUGGCUUAAGGAUCUAUUCCAGCGCUGCUAAUUAAUUGUGAGUAAGUAAUUGAUUCACUUCCUUUGAAAAAAAAGACUAACGAGACCAUAUGUGGGUUGGUAGUUAUGUAAAACGACAGCAGAAACAUUCUACAAGGCAGAUUCUUGCCCCUUGAUAAGCUGGCUUCUUGAAUUCUUCCUAUUUAUUAGGGACUGCGUUGCUUACCAGUUCCGGUCGGUUUUUUUUUUUUGCCCCCCCCUUCUUUUGAUUUAGGAAAUGAGUAUGAAUGCUUUAUUGAUGUUUUCCCACUUUUUGACACACGAAGGGCCACCUUGAAAAAGAAACUAGUUGGCCUUUCUGUAUGAAGGAAUAGAUGUAUUUUAUAUUUGAGUUCAUUUGCAUUUUGGAGCAGAGAAAUUAUUGGAUGUGAUUGUGGCCGCCAUAGUUCCUCCCUGGGGCUUGCUUAAAAACAGGGGCGUCUGUCCCAGGCCUUUGGAGUGAUCACCUUUCCCUGUCUUUUCUUCUUUCAUCUUUUCUGAGUCAGGAACACAACCGUGGGGAAACGUUUUUAGGGAGUUGGGCGUCAGGGGGGGCUUUGUUCGUUUUUGAGCCCACUUUUAAGCCUAGUUUCACCCAAGUGAAUUUCUAUGCAAAUUCAGUAGAUUUGUGGUACCAAGCCCAAAUCAGACACGAAAUUAUAAUAGAAAGGCAAGCCCAGGGUCUUAAGGGAAAAAAGACAAUUAGCUUUAUGAAGAUACUAAUUUGGGGGAAUGUACUGCUCCUCACACUGAAGCUCUGAAAAGUGUUUUCCUUUUCCCUUCUUGUGAACACCGCUAUCCUGUGAGCUCCCCAAAGCCAGUGGCAAGUUUUUUUUUUUUUUUGUUCCUGAUUGUGGGCGACCCGGGAGUUGGGCAACCAGCUCCUCCCGUCCCCUCCCCUCUCCGGGCGCACCUUGCGAGGGGGGGAGGCAGCGAGGGGGGUUGGCGGUGCGCCUGCGCGCUGCGCUGUGCUCGCAGCCCCCCCCACUCCAGAAUACCUGUCACUGGAACCGCCCGGGCGCGAGCGCGCCACGUU
rnacentral:lncRNA from 1 species